UAGGGAAUCUUCCACAAUGGACGCAAGUCUGAUGGAGCAACGCCGCGUGAGUGAAGAAGGUUUUCGGACCGUAAAGCUCUGUUGUUGGUGAAGAAGGAUAGAGGUAGUAACUGGCCUUUAUUUGACGGUAAUCAACCAGAAAGUCACGGCUAACUACGUGCCAGCAGCCGCGGUAAUACGUAGGUGGCAAGCGUUGUCCGGAUUUAUUGGGCGUAAAGCGAGCGCAGGCGGAAGAAUAAGUCUGAUGUGAAAGUCCUCGGCUUAACCGAGGAAUUGCAUCGGAAACUGUUUUCUUGAGUGCAGAAGAGGAGAGUAGAACUCCAUGUGUAGCGGUGGAAUGCGUAGAUAUAUGGAAGAAUACCAGUGGCGAAGGCGGCUCUCUGGUCUGCAACUGACGCUGAGGCUCGAAAGCAUGGGUAGCGAACAGGAUUAGAUACCCUGGUAGUCCAUGCCGUAAACGAUGAGUGCUAAGUGUUGGGAGGCUUCCGCCUCUCAGUGCUGCAGCUAACGCAUUAAGCACUCCGCCUGGGGGAGUACGACCGCAAGGUUGAAAC
rnacentral:rRNA from 1 species